rnacentral:tRNA from 1 species
GCGGGGUGGAGCAGCCUGGUAGCUCGUCGGGCUCAUAACCCGAAGGUCGUCGGUUCAAA